rnacentral:tRNA from 1 species
GGUGUUGUGGCUCACUGGUAGAGUGCUUGCCCAACAUGCAUGAAACACUGGGUUCGAUCCCCAGCACCAUAU